AGUAAUAUAUCGCUGAUAGUGUGGUACUGUGGUGUAGGGUGUGUAGUGUGGUUAAUGUACGUUAGGUGCGGUAGUAGAAAUAAAAGCUUAGCGUAAAAAAACAUAAAAAUAAGAGAAUGUCCGGUGCCGGUCGUAUUAUAGGUUAAAUAAAUUGAGAAUUUUUCCCAAUGCUUAGGUAGCAAUUAUCAAUUAAAGUGAUUUGUUGGUAGUUGGGGGGAAAGGACGAACGAUUCAGAAGGAAAUAUCGAGAUAGAAAUGGACAAUAGAAUAAACAUAUGCGACCCGGACGAGGACGAGAUAAACAAUGAGAUAUUUAAUGAAAUUGAGCCUGUUUCUUGGAUCAACGACGAGCCCAAUUAUGAUCUCGACGACAUCAACAUGUUCUUCCAUAGAGUCGAUUCUGAUCAGAUUAUAUACGAGGAGAAAAAAAAACGAUGCAAGCUCAUCGGUAAAUACGUAAUGGGCGAUGUACUGGGCGAAGGUAGUUAUGGAAAAGUUAAAGAGGUUCUUGACUCAGAGACGCUCUGUCGCAGAGCUGUUAAAAUAUUGAAGAAGAAGAAAUUACGCAGGAUACCAAAUGGAGAACAGAACGUACAGCGGGAAAUACAAUUACUGAGAAGAUUGAAGCACAAAAAUGUUGUUCAAUUAAUUGAUGUGCUUUACAAUGAUGAAAAGGAAAAAAUGUAUCUUAUAAUGGAAUUUUGUGUUUGCGGACUGCAGGAUAUGUUAGACAGUACUCCUAGCAAAAAGUUACCAAUUUGGCAAGCUCACAGCUAUUUUACGCAGUUGGUGGAUGGACUGGAGUAUCUGCAUAGCAAAGGGAUAGUUCAUAAAGAUAUUAAACCUGGAAAUUUACUACUGACACUCGAUCAAACAUUGAAAAUCAGUGACUUUGGAGUUGCAGAGGCCUUGGAUAUGUUUGCCAAAGACGACACUUGCACAACAGGACAGGGUUCGCCAGCGUUUCAACCACCCGAAAUAGCAAACGGAUGUGAAACAUUUGCUGGCUUUAAAGUAGACAUAUGGAGCUGCGGAGUAACAUUAUACAAUAUAACGACGGGUCUCUAUCCGUUCGAGGGUGACAAUAUUUAUAGACUUUACGAGAAUAUCGGACGAGGGGACUACACGAUACCAGGAGAUGUCGAAGAAAUGUUGGCGUCUUUACUCGAAGGGAUGCUCCAAAAAGACCCGGAGGAAAGAUUCACGCUUCAAGAAAUCCGUAGGCAUCCGUGGACUAUUUGUUGGCCACCGAGAGAUACGGAAGAAGUUGCGAUACCUCCUUUGAAGGGUCAGAAGUGGCACACGAUGACCGUUUUACCGUAUUUGAUGGAUUAUCUUUAUGGCGUUGAUAGCGAUCCAAUGUAUUAUACGGAACACCAACUGAACGAUGAUAAGAGGAAAGGUGAAAGCACUUUGUCGAAUCGACUUCUAGUAUUCUUGUCGAAAACCUGCAUCAUUCUGUAAAGCAAGAUACUUCCGUAUUGUUUAUUCGAGAAAUGAGGGACAAAAAAAUCUUAUGCAUCUAGAAGAGAGAAGACUUCAGGAGAUAGAUCGAUUGAGUGGCGAUCAAAAGAGUUCAUCAAGUAGCAGUAAUCCAAACAAAUCCAGCUCUAAUCACACGAAAAGACGGUGGCGAAAGAAUAUAUCGUGUUUGAGCGU
rnacentral:misc_RNA from 1 species